CCAAAUCAAGUCUCACACCUAGGUGCUUAAUUUUACACACCCGGGCCUGAUGAAGUGUCUUUCUGGAGAUCACAGGCGCUGCUGUGCCUCAUGUCCCGCCAGACUGGAAGCGCAGCCCUGCCUCGCCGUGCCUGCAGCGGUCACCUGAGGAGAAACCUCCGCGGUGGCAGCGAACAUCGCGGCGCGACAGUGCAGCUCGUGGGGCUGUGGGGACCUCUCGUGGUAAACAACAGACGAGCAAACUCCGGAGCUGUCCCCUGCUAUGGAGUAUUGGAAGUGCAGUGUUGAAAGCCAGAUGUUACGAAGGGCAGAGAGAAGCUGAAACUUAAGUGAACUGAUACACCCUGAAGAGAUGCCUGUUGGAUUCCAGAGAACUCCAGUUAGACCCAUAAAAGUGUACUUCUGUCUGUUGAGAAGUGUGGAAAUUGUUCCAUGUGGGUCAUUUUAUCUUUCUCUCCUGAG
ensembl:lncRNA